CACUGUGACCCUAUGUUUGUAUUAAUGGAUUCCACAACAUUUUCUUUGACCAAAUAAAUGAAAAUUGAAAUCCCUUCACAUUUUCAUUUUCGUUUUUUUUUCUUAAUGGAUUCUAAACUCUGCCUUCAAAAACAAUAUUGUCAGAAUAUUUAUGCGGCAUGCUCCGCAGGAGCAUAUCCAAAACUUAAUGUCCAACUUGUUGCUGCUGGAAGGUGGUGAGAAUCCAAUUCUAGCUAAGAACAUGAAAACCAAUGUUAGAAGGCCAAAAAUUACAGAGACAAAGUCCCAAGAAAGACUACAAAAUGCAUAUAACGACACUGUCCAAGUUGCUUCUACUUCAGUCCUCCAUGAAUGAAACAAUGAAGAUAUCAGGAUAUAUUGUUGAAAGUCUUUUUUAAGUUUUUGUUCUUUGUUUGUAAAAAUUAUGGAUUAAGAUUGAUGGAGAUCGAUCAGUAGAAGCCGACAAUUAGUAUUGUUAUUGUGUUUUUUGAUUAUUCAGUCAGCUUCACCUAGAUGAUUUGGCUUCUCUCCUUUAUAAAUUAACUCUCAUGUGCUUUGUCUCCUUUCUCCAUUGAAGGAAUCUCUUCACAGUCAUCUCCUA